rnacentral:lncRNA from 1 species
UCUAAUCCCAGAGCACUUGAGAGAAUUGCUGCUCAUCUCCAAGUGCCAAGGUUUGGAUGUGGAUUUUAAAAAUUAACCAUAGCUCAAUGCUUUUAUUAAAAAACAACUUUGCCACAAUUUCUAUGUUAUUAUCUUGUUAGUCCCAUUUUUUUAAUAAUGGCAACUGUCACCUGCCAGAUGGUAGGUUUCCACAGAGCCACACAGAGAGUGAUCUCAAUGAUGGCAUUCCUUGUAACAUGACCCAGAGGCAAUAGGGUGGAAGGAAUAAUGAGACUAUUAGUUUAGUCUUAAUGAUGGCUCUUCGGAAGGAUUACCAAAGACCUACCGUCUAGUUUGCUAACAUGGUUAGCAAAAGAACUAAGUUAAUUCUCUCUCUCUUUCUUAAAGGGGCAACUUUGUAUUUCUCUCAAAAUUGUAUUUCAAAUUUUGAAAUCAAUAACUAAUUCUAGAAUUUGUUUUUAAGAUUAACAUUCCUUACAUAGGACUGUACUGCAGCU